rnacentral:lncRNA from 1 species
CUUGGAGAUGCGAUGAAUUUUCAUUAUUGUUUUAUUUGAUAAUUGGACAUGAAAAUAGUCUCAAGAUGAAUUUAAUAUUGAUGAUAUUUACAAUUAAAGAAAUCUUGUAAUAGAUUCUCACUUGAAUAUGUAUACACGAGUAUAACCAACUUAUGGUUGAAUCCGGACAUUGUGUACUCUUUAACCGAUAUUUUUUUUCUGUUCGUUCGUUUUCUGUUUGUUUGUUUUUUUCGUCAUAGAUCUGCACCUUUCAUUAGUGAUUUUUAUAGUUAUUAUUUUGUACUGUUACACCACUGUCCCAGGUUAGGGGGUGGCUGAGAUCCCUCUUACAUGAUUAACCCCGCCACAUUCUGUAUGUAUGAGCCUGUCCCAAGUCAGGAACCUGUAAUUCAGUGGCUGUCGUUUUUCGUUUAUUUUUUGUACAUAGAUUAUGCCGUUACUUUUUCUCGUUUGAAUUGUUUUACAUUUGUCAUUUCGGGGCCUUUUAUAGCUAAUUAUGCGGUAUGGGAUUUGCAAAUUGUUGAAGGCCGUACGGUGACCUUUAGUUGUUAAUUUCUGUGUCAUAUAAUCUCUUAUGGAGAGUUGUCUCAUGAACAAUCAUACCAAAUCUUUGUUUUUUAUUUGUUGAAAAUUUUGGGACGAUGUAUCCAAUAUUGCUUCGUAAAGCAGCGAUUAACGUUCGAAAUUAAUUGCACUGCGGUUUUACUCCGCUGUUUAGAACCAUUUAAACAUGUAACAAUAAACUGUCUCAAAUAUAUCCUUGUAUUCUUACAAUUACGAUUUUGCUUAAUAUGUUACAACGAUUCGGGAGAAACUCAAACAUAUAUUAAGGUGACUCGAUUAUCG